rnacentral:rRNA from 1 species
GUGCCUAACACAUGCAAGUCGAGCGGAGAUUAUAGCAAUGUAAUCUUAGCGGCGGACGGGUGAGUAACGCGUGGGCAACCUACCUCAAACUGGGGGAUAACACAGGGAAACUUGUGCUAAUACCGCAUAACAUCAUGAGAAGACAUCUUUUUAUGAUCAAAGGAGUAAUCCGGUGAGAGAUGGGCCCGCGUCCAAUUAGCUAGUUGGUGAGGUAACGGCCCACCAAGGCGACGAUUGGUAGCCGAACUGAGAGGUUGAUCAGCCACACUGGGACUGAGACACGGCCCAGACUCCUACGGGAGGCAGCAGUGGGGAAUUUUGGACAAUGGGCGAAAGCCUGAUCCAGCAAUGCCGCGUGUGUGA